rnacentral:tRNA from 1 species
GCCCUUAUAGCUCAGUGGUAGAGCGCAUCACUCGUACCACCUGUGAUAUGAUGAGGUCCGCUGUUCGAUCCAGCGUGGGGGCA